rnacentral:piRNA from 3 species
UAGCUCAGUUGGUAGAGCGGAGGACUG